rnacentral:snRNA from 1 species
AUACUUACCUGGACGGGGUCAACACACGAUCAUGAAGGUGUGUGGCCUAAGCUAGUGACUUCUAUUGCACUUUGAAAGUGUGCUUAGCUUAAGGUCUUCCCAAGUGGAAGAUCCUGCGUCAUUAUUUGUUGCUGAGGGGGCCUGCGUUCGCGCGGCCCCUCC